rnacentral:lncRNA from 1 species
GCUACUGUGAGGAGCCUGGCGGGUAGGAGCAAGGAAACUGAGCGGGGCUGCUGGUUGAGUUCGAGCGGGGGGAGAGGGCGGGGCCCAGCAGGGAGAGGGCGAAGCUUCCAGGUGGGCUUCGGCUACAGGGAGGAGACCGAAUGGAGGGGACAAGGAACAAGGGCGGGGCCUGCGAGGGGUGCCGUAGGGGGCCGGGGCAGGGGCGGGCCCUGAAAUAGAGACGGUCUUUCAGCGACCGAUUUAAGGGUGAGGACGGGGUUCUCGAGACGCUAGAUUGAGAAGCUGGGUGGGGUCUAUGGGGGUCGGGCCAGGGACUAGGGCGGGGCCUGCGAAGGAGAGAGGGAAUGAGGCUGGAGGCGGGGCCAGAACCGGGAAGUUGAUUAGACAGUGAGGGUGGGGCCAGCACCCGCGCCCAGAUGGGAUCUGGCUGGCUAUGGGGCCUGGGAGGGGGCCUUCACCGCGCUGAGCGACAGGAGGCCGGGUCCCCACCGCCUAAUCUCUGUCAUCCACCUGGGCAGGUCUGAGGCCCAGAGAAAGGGCCGCCGCCUGCCCCCUACACCCCCUGGGGUUCCCCGGACCCUCACAGGUGUUGUAGGCCUUCUUAUGGGACAGGAUCUCCACCACCUCCUUCUUCCGGAAGGGCUCCGGCCCCGGCACCGGUUCUGGAAAAGAAACUGACAGUUUACGGAGGCGGCUAGGCUGAGGCUGCAGUGGGAAGGCCCAGGGGUGGCGUGGUCACAGCCAACAGCCACUAUCCCCCUAAGCACGACCUCGACUUAAUCAGCUACACGUCCAUAGUCCCUUCAUUCCUCAGGUCGGGGACCUUCAGGUCCUGUGUGUAACCUCCCCCGCCCCGUGUCCUGUGCACUCCCCGUGCUGCAGGAAGCCAGGUCUUUCUGUUCCAUCCUGGGACCGCCUGUUCCACCCAUCAACGACAGGGAGAUACCCAGGAAGGGGUGAGGGCAAGAGAGCCUGGAAGAUGUAUUUGUGGAUGCCUCCUGUCUACGGUGUGACUGAGCAAAUUACCUGACCUCUCUGUGCUUCCUCAUUAGGAAGUGGGGGGUGAUCACAUUAUGUACAUCACAGAGUUGCCAUGGGAUUUAGAAAUGAGAGUCCCUGGUGUUUGAUCACUGCACAGUAAAUGCCAGCUUUUUUUUUUUUUUUUUUUUUAGACGGGGUCUCACUGUGUCACCCAGGUUACCAGGUCGGAGUGCAGUGGUGUGAUCGCGGCUCACUGCAACCUCCACCUCCGAGGCUCAAUCGAUCCUCCCAACUCAGCCUCCCAAGUAGCUGGGACCACAGACAUCCUCCAUGUGCCUGGCUAAUUUUUUGUAUUUUCGGUAGAGACAAGGGUUUCGCCACGUUGCCCAGGCUGGUCUCGAACCCCUGAGCUCAGGCGAUCCACCCACCUCAGCCUCCCAAAGUGCUGGGAUGACAGGCGUGAGCCACUGUGCCCGGCCUAAAUGCCAGCUAUUAAAUAACUCAGGGACUGAAGGCUUGAGGACGCAUCAGGUUAAAUAGUAGUCAGUGCAGCCCUGGGAGAUGCUAAGCCUGGGGCUGCCACAGAUGGUGUGGUAUCUGGGGUUCCCCCAAGGCCAUCAGGCCACUCACUAGCAGGUUUCUGGGUGCCGAAGUGGAGCUCCAGGUCGAGGUAUUUCACCAUGUCACUCAGCUUAUCGUAGUCAGAGUCUUCCCCGAGCUGCGAGGGAGGAUGGGAGGUUCAGAGUAGGAGGAGCAGCAGCAGCUGGACUGGCCUCCCACUUCCCACCCUCUGAGGGCUGCCAUAGGGGCUUCCCGAGCAAAAGCACCCAUCAGGUGCUGGGAUAAAGCCCGGAGCAGGAGGAGACUGCAGGAGAAGCCAGAUCAUCCGAGUCACCGGGUGCUGAGCCAGCGCCUCCUGGGGUCAAUCGAGACUCAAGACUUGGAACACUACUCGUGCAGAAGCCAGCAAGGUCUCCUUGGAGAGCGGUGAGUUCACCAGGGCUGCCCUGGGCAGAGUGAGCUGGUGCUGAGAGAACUGCAACUGUGACAGCCUAGGGGCCAGACGCUGGACACGUGGCUGUGAUGAAUGGCAUAGAUGAGAGGUAACAGCCUGGGGCUGGGGCAGGGAGUGCGGACGGGGUGGCUGCCAAAGGGAGAGAACCCAAAGGGAGGGCAGGCAGGGGAAUGAAGUCUUAGAACAUGGCUGCAGGGCAGGGACACUGAGGAUGGAUUUGGGUUUGGCCACAUGUGUGACCUGUGUCCCUGUGUCCACCUUUGGUAACCAAUGGAAGAACCACGCUGUGGAGCAAUACUUGAAGAUCGGUCCAAGGCUGGCAGGAGUGAGGUCUCCAGGGGACCCAGGAGGUCCUUAUUUGUGCCCUUGUCUCACUGAGGUAUUUUUUUUUUUUUUUUUUUAGAUAGGGUCUCACUCUGUACCCCAGGCUGGAGUGCAGUGGUGCCAUCUUGGCUCACUGCAACCUCCACCUGUGGGAAUCAAGUGAUUCUCCCUCUUCAGCCUCCCGAGUAGCUGGGACCACAGGCAUGCACCACCAGGUCUGGCUAACUUUUUGAUUUUUUUGUAGAGACAAGAUCUCACUAUGUUGCCCAGACUUGUCUUGAACUCUUAGGCUCAAGCAGUCCUCCCGCCUCAGCCUCCCAAAGUGCUGGGAUUACAGGCGUGAACCACCAAGCCUGGCCUCAAUGGGCAUCUUUAUUAGCAACUUGGAAAGGGUCCCUGGAGAUGUGGGCUGAGAAAGCAGGAGACAGAAUUGGGACCCAGGAGAUGGCAGUGGGGAAAAAUCACAAGCAUGCCUCUGCCCAGUGUGACUACAUGUGAGAGUGAGCUAUUGAUCCCAAGAAGAUGGAGUUGAGGAUGAUGGUGAUCAUGAGCACUGGGACGGGGCAGCCCUGGGAGCUGGAAGGAGCCCCUGCCAUAUUAAAAGGAGUAUGAUGUCCCAGUCAAAGGAGCUGAGAACCCUGUUCUCUCCUCUGAGCUGGUCAAGCCCCAUUGGGGGUUCCAUCUGGGAAUGUCUCUUUGACAGGGACAUGGACACUGGAGUGGGGGUUGGAAACCAUGUUCUAAGAGAAUGAUCUGAAAAAAAAAAAAAGGGGUGGGGUGAACCUUGUUCAUCUUGCAGAUUGGUUGGUCUGUGGAUAAGAUUGCUCUGCCCGAUUUUAAGGGCCAGAAAGAAAACAGGGCAUGGGAAUCCUGGGGAGACAAGAUUUCAGAGCAAGACAAAGGAUGGUUAAAAUCGUCCAGUGAGGAAAGGAAGACCUUGACAGGUAGUGAGUUCCCCACCACUGAAGGUGUUCAAGCAUACACUGCCAGUGUUGUGAGGGAGGAACUUCAAGCAUCAAAGUGAAAGGGUGAAGGCUGGUGUGCAGGAGUUUGAACCAGCUGCUCUUUUAAAGGUUUAAGAGAACUUGUCUGGCCUCAAAAGUGAUAGGUUUCAAGGAUGGGUAGGGUGGCAUUUCCAGGUGUCCCCAGUGUGUGUCUUUGGCUGAGGGACACAGAUUGGCUUCAAUGCCUGCAGUGGCCCCCAA